GAUGAACGCUGGCGGCGUGCCUAAUACAUGCAAGUCGAGCGAACAGACGAGGAGCUUGCUCCUCUGACGUUAGCGGCGGACGGGUGAGUAACACGUGGAUAACCUACCUAUAAGACUGGGAUAACUUCGGGAAACCGGAGCUAAUACCGGAUAAUAUAUUGAACCGCAUGGUUCAAUAGUGGAAGACGGUUUUGCUGUCACUUAUAGAUGAAUCCGCGCCGCAUUAGCUAGUUGGUAAGGUAACGGCUUACCAAGGCGACGAUGCGUAGCCGACCUGAGAGGGUGAUCGGCCACACUGGAACUGAGACACGGUCCAGACUCCUACGGGAGGCAGCAGUAGGGAAUCUUCCGCAAUGGGCGAAAGCCUGACGGAGCAACGCCGCGUGAGUGAUGAAGGUCUUCGGAUCGUAAAACUCUGUUAUUAGGGAAGAACAAAUGUGUAAGUAACUAUGCACGUCUUGACGGUACCUAAUCAGAAAUCCACGGCUAACUACGUG
rnacentral:rRNA from 1 species